UAUCCGGAUUUAUUGGGUUUAAAGGGUGCGUAGGCGGUUUGAUAAGUUAGAGGUGAAAUUUCGGGGCUCAACCCUGAACGUGCCUCUAAUACUGUUGAGCUAGAGAGUAGUUGCGGUAGGCGGAAUGUAUGGUGUAGCGGUGAAAUGCUUAGAGAUCAUACAGAACACCGAUUGCGAAGGCAGCUUACCAAACUAUAUCUGACGUUGAGGCACGAAAGCGUGGGGAGCAAACAGGAUUAGAUACCCUGGUAGUCCACGCAGUAAACGAUGAUAACUCGUUGUCGGCGAUACACAGUCGGUGACUAAGCGAAAGCGAUAAGUUAUCCACCUGGGGAGUACGUUCGCAAGAAUGAAACUCAAAGGAAUUGACGGGGGCCCGCACAAGCGGAGGAACAUGUGGUUUAAUUCGAUGAUACGCGAGGAACCUUACCCGGGCUUGAAAGUUAGCGACGAUUCUUGAAAGAGGAUUUCCCUUCGGGGCGCGAAACUAGGUGCUGCAUGGUUGUCGUCAGCUCGUGCCGUGAGGUGUCGGCUUAAGUCCCAUAACGAGCGCAACCCCUACCGUUAGUUGCCAUCAGGUGAAGCUGGGCACUCUGGCGGGACUGCCGGUGUAAGCCGAGAGGAAGGUGGGGAUGACGUCAAAUCAGCACGGCCCUUACGUCCGGGGCUACACACGUGUUACAAUGGUAGGUACAGAGGGCAGCUACCCAGCGAUGGGAUGCGAAUCUCGAAAGCCUAUCUCAGUUCGGAUUGGAGGCUGAAACCCGCCUCCAUGAAGUUGGAUUCGCUAGUAAUCGCGCAUCAGCCAUG
rnacentral:rRNA from 1 species